rnacentral:tRNA from 1 species
GCCUGGGUGGCUCAGUCAGUUAAGCGUCUGACUUCGGCUCAGGUCAUGAUCUCACGGUUUGUGAGUUCGAGCCCCACAUCGGGCU